rnacentral:ncRNA from 1 species
UAUAGGGGCAAACCAUCUGAAAAGUUGGGACGCAAAGCCGUGAAUCUAAGGUUAUACUAUGAUUGUCUGGUUGC